UACGAAGGGGGCUAGCGUUGCUCGGAAUUACUGGGCGUAAAGCGUGCGCAGGCGGCUUUGCAAGUCAGAUGUGAAAUCCCCGGGCUUAACCUGGGAACUGCAUUUGUGACUGCAUGGCUGGAGUGCGGCAGAGGGGGAUGGAAUUCCGCGUGUAGCAGUGAAAUGCGUAGAUAUGCGGAGGAACACCGAUGGCGAAGGCAAUCCCCUGGGCCUGCACUGACGCUCAUGCACGAAAGCGUGGGGAGCAAACAGG
rnacentral:rRNA from 1 species